AAUUGAUUCAACUUCCUAUGGUGAGAAGCAUUCCUCAAGUCUUCACUUUGCAUUUUUAUACAACCAAUAGUUGCUUUUUACAAGCUAAUUUCUUGCUUUUGUAGGCAGAGCAUCAUGUACACGAGGAUUCUGGUGAAGAACUAGGACAACUCAUUGCUGGAACGGAACGCAAAAGGAGUAUCGGGGUGGCAUAAAAACUCUUUAUUCUUAUCUUCUGUAUGAGAGAAGAACAUAAAUAACAUUGAAUUUGCCUCUGUAUGAUCUCUCUAUUAAGAUUUCACUUUUAAGCAUUUCAUUAUAUAGUUUGAUUUCUUGUAUUGGCCGAGGCACCUGUUCCAGCAACUUUAGGAAAAACCAUGGACAUCAUGACAGCAAAUAAAAUACAAGUAAUAUUUUGUGGAUGUAGUAAUUUGAAAAUAUAAACGUAUGGUAUUAUUGGGAU
rnacentral:lncRNA from 1 species